rnacentral:lncRNA from 1 species
UGCCCGUCUUUAUACUAAGGACGCAUAACCAGACGAACAACAAAUGCUUGCCCAAGUUCGUCCAGACGCAUAAUGCGUCUCUAGUAUAAAAACGGCCAAUGAUUUGUAAGAAAUGUUGAGGGAACUGACUCAAGUGUCUAACAUUGAGUGAGUUCCCUCAAACAUUUCUUAGAAAUCCUUCGAAACUUAGAAUUUGUCUAUGCAAGAUUCCUACUGUGACCACACAAACUUUGAUAGUGUAAACAAGCUUUUAGCCAUGAAAAACUACUCCCAUAUAAAUGGAAAAGAUUUCAAGUUUUUUCUCUCAUUUUCAUGCACGUGUUGAAGAAGGAUGUUCUGCUUCUCUGUGCAUAGCCCAUGAGAAAAAAACUUGAAAUCCUUUCCAUUUAAGGUGGUCCUAAGUUGAAAACAGUGUAGUUGUGACGUAAUUAUCGAAAGGAUGUAUUUUUGAAAUAAUGACCAAAGUAUCAUUUUGGGCUCAUAAUGACCAUUGUAUAUCUGGGUAAACUAUUUACGUGUCCCUACUUGUGACGUAACGUGCAUAUCCACAAUAAUCCAAGAUGGCGGCCAACUCACCGAUUUAUGAUGAUUUUAGUCAAAAUAUUUUGUAAAAUAGUUUUCCGCAUAAUUUUAAAAGUUCUUUCAAAUGAAACAAACUAAAUUUCAAUUGCCAUAUUCCUUUUAAGUUUCGCGUGUACCCAACAAAAGACGUCUAUCUCCAAGAUAAUUGACUAUAUACAUCCUUGUGAUUUCGGUUCUGUGGGGAUUUUAAAACAUACCAAAACCUUGUAACUGGCAGGUCCUGUCCUUAUUCCGUUUAGUUUUGCGCCAUUCAUCUAUCGGUGUAAAUUUUUAGCGCUUUUUCUUUCGGUUUGUACGAUGUUUUGCUCAGGGUGGUCGCGGUUCUACAACGUAGAAAGAAAGUUAGUUUUUAGCAAACGACAUUUUUGACA